rnacentral:rRNA from 1 species
UACGAAGGGGGCUAGCGUUGUUCGGAAUCACUGGGCGUAAAGGGCGCGUAGGCGGCUUUAUAAGUCGGGGGUGAAAGCCUGUGGCUCAACCACAGAAUUGCCUUCGAUACUGUAGAGCUUGAGACCGGAAGAGGUAAGUGGAACUGCGAGUGUAGAGGUGAAAUUCGUAGAUAUUCGCAAGAACACCCGUGGCGAAGGCGGCCAACUGGGCCGGACCUGACGCUGAGGCGCGAAGGCGUGGGGAGCGAACGGG